UACGGGGGGGGCAAGCGUUGUUCGGAAUUACUGGGCGUAAAGGGCGCGUAGGCGGUCAGAUAAGUUCAGCUGUGAAAACCUCGGGCUUAACCCGAGCCUGCAGUUGAAACUGUUUGGCUGGAGUGUGGGAGAGGAGAGUGGAAUUCCCGGUGUAGCGGUGAAAUGCGUAGAUAUCGGGAAGGAACACCGGUGGCGAAGGCGGCUCUC
rnacentral:rRNA from 1 species